rnacentral:tRNA from 1 species
GCCGAAGUGGCGAAAUCGGUAGACGCAGUUGAUUCAAAAUCAACCGCCUUCGGGUAUGCCGGUUCGAGUCCGGCCUUCGGCACCA